AUGGCGGCGGCGGGCGGCGAGGCCGCGGCGGCGGCGCUGGCGGCGGCGAAGAAGCGGGCGGCGUCGCGGAGCUGGAUCCUGUUCGACGCGGCGGGGGAGGAGCGGGAGCUCGACGCCGACAAGUACGCCAUCAUGCACCGCGUCGACAUCAACGCGCGCGACCUGCGCAUCCUCGACCCGCUGCUCUCCUACCCCUCCACCAUCCUCGGNNNNNNNNNNNNNNNNNNNNNNGUGGAUCAGCACAUAAAGGCGAUCGUUACAUCUGAAGAGGUUUUGCUCAGGGAUCCUUCAGAUGAAAAUGUCAUUCCUGUUGUAGAGGAGCUCCGGAGACGACUAGCACCUUCAAGUGCUGCUCAGCAUGAUGGAAAGGAUAAUUUAAGUGGCCAGCAUGAUGCGGAAGCUGCUGAAGAAGAUGAAUCUCCCUUUGAGUUCCGUGCACUUGAGGUUACUUUGGAAGCAAUCUGCAGCUUUCUUGAUGCACGCACUACUGAGCUGGAGACUAAUGCUUACCCAGCUUUGGAUGACCUGACAUCCAAGAUUAGUAGCCACAACUUGGACAAGGUACGGAAGUUAAAAAGUGGCAUGACGAGAUUGACUGCAAGGGUCCAGAAGGUGAGAGAUGAGCUUGAACAAUUAUUGGAUGAUGACGAUGACAUGGCUGAUCUUUACUUGUCUAGAAAGUUGGCUGGGGCAUCAUCCCCUGUCAGUGGUUCCGGUGGACCAAAUUGGUUCCCAGCAUCCCCAACUAUUGGUUCAAAAAUAUCAAGAGCUAGUAGAGCCAGUGCAGCAACUAUACAUGGAAAUGAGAAUGAUGUGGAAGAGCUGGAGAUGUUGCUGGAGGCAUAUUUCAUGCAGAUAGAUGGCACAUUAAACAAAUUGACAACGCUGAGAGAGUAUAUUGAUGACACAGAAGAUUAUAUUAACAUUCAGCUUGAUAAUCACCGUAAUCAGUUGAUUCAGCUAGAGCUAUUCUUGAGUUCUGGGACCGUCUGCUUAUCACUUUACUCAUUGGUUGCUGGAGUCUUUGGUAUGAACAUACCUUACACCUGGAACGACGGCCAUGGAUAUGUCUUCAAAUGGGUGGUUAUUGUAUCAGGGCUGUUUUGUGCUUUCAUGUUUGUCACGAUUGUCGCUUAUGCUCGGCACAAGGGUCUUGUUGGGUCCUGA
rnacentral:rRNA from 1 species